rnacentral:tRNA from 1 species
CAUAAAGGAGCCGAAUGAAACCAAAGUUUCACGUUCGGCCAAGCUAACGAUGCGGGUUCGAUUCCCGCUACCCGCU